rnacentral:lncRNA from 1 species
CUGGAUCAAAUUGUUUGUGUCGAUCAAGUCGUCAAUAGUACUAAGUACGCAUGCGUUCCCUUUAACAUGUUGCUCUUAAAUAUUUUGUACGUAAGAGUGCUGAUUGUCAGCAUUAUGCUUAUUUGAUUUCUUGAUUAAUUUAUGUGUUAAUCUCCAAAAAAAGAGAGAGAAAUUGUACAAACUGAAAGAAAUGUCUGGUGCUUGUAGGAGAACAUGUCAAUUAUGAUUCUGGAAAAAUUCUCUCUAGCAUGUACUUUAGACUAUAUUACUUUAAUACAGCAUCAAUUCGAUUGUGUAUGGUGGUCAAAUAUAAAAAAGAGAAAAACCAACAUGUUUUAGAGUAAUCUUACUCCGAAGCGCAAUCCCAAUAGUAUUUUGUAUUUUUCCUAAUUAAUUUUCUCAUUUAAAAACAAGUUCUGCAUUUAUGAGCGUCGGAAUAUGGCCAGUCCUGAAACUGAAUAAAAGUGAGAUAAUGUGAGAUUAUAAUGAAGUUAAUUGAUGUUUUUCAAAAAGGUCUUGAGUCUCUCUGCCAAGGCAGGCAGUGUGACUCAAAUGAAGAUUUUAAUAUUGAAUAUGUUCCUGAGAUUUGAAGCAUAACCAUUUGUUACAUUAGCCGUGGCCACCAACAUAGUGUGCACCAAAAACAUCAGCAAAAGAAGAGAAUGCAUUGUUUUCCAGAACGCAUGUUCAAAUUUUGUCUCCGAGGAAAGGAGGGUAGUUGGCCUAUCGGCCUAUCCUUUUAGCAAGAUGAUUGAUUGGAGGGAAGGAUGCUGGGGUCUAUUUGGAAACAACCUCUCUACCCCAGGGUAGAGUUAAGGUCUGCGUACAUACUACCCUCCCCAAACCCCACUAUGUGAGAUUAUACUUGGUUGUUGGUAUUGUUGUUGUUGUUGUUGUUGUUGUAUAUCAG